GCGUGAUCGGGGCAUGGCUGAAUCGAGCGGUCUAUCAGGAGACGGUUUCUGACCGGGCGGCGCCUCUACGUUGUGGAUCGACGGGGCAAUGAAGGCAGCGACCAGAGGGAAGAAAAUGUUGCUGCACCCAGUUGGAGUGGGAUAUUUGUCUACAAUGAAAUGAAGCACAGCCAGAGAACCAGACAGCGCUACUUGACUUGGCACAAGUUGGAAAUACUACUUUUGAUAUGUAAUGGGAUAUGUGUUGCUUUUUAUUUAAUAUCCACAAGGAGCAGUCAAGAUCAGCAAGAUCGAGCAAGAUGGCAAAUUGAGGAUUGUGAACCAAGCCCCACCCUUUUUGAAUGUGAAUGUGAUGUUGACAUAAAUUGGAAUGGGAUGGGGGUUUACAUUGCAAUGCUCUGUCUGACAUCUUGCUGAUUUUGACACACGCCUGCAAUGGUUACUGUCUUUGCCCCUGAGAAAUGGUCUGUGGUCAGUACUUAAUCUGGGGAAAGCUGCCCAUGUGAAUCAGCCUUAAGAUUCCAGGAAACAGGGAAGCUGGAUGGUGCACUUCACAAACUUUGAUUAUAUCCCCUGUUAAGUCUGUAUCUAUGAGAAGUAUUCAUUUAAGUCCAAUGAAAAAUUAUACAGAACAAAAGAACAACAACAAACUUUUGUGGCUGAUCCCAAUGUAUUCUCUUACAAUCCUGUGUGUAACUGUACUGCCCCUUACACAAUCUGGACUGGAUAUUUAUAGAUCCUGACAAAAUACAAACACUUCGAAAACUUGAACUGGAUUUUUAAAUCGGUCUAGUAUCUUAAUUAAUAUAGAAUCCCACUAUGCAGUGUUUGAACAGAGGCAAUAAAUAAACAGUGGUCUAUGUUUACUAUGAUUAGCUUGUGAUCAGAGGAAUACCCAGGAUAUGAUCUUAAAUUUUAAGUAUCUCUACUGAAGCUUGGAGAUGUCUGUCAUAACAUAUUUGUGAGGGGAAAAAUACUCUGGAACUGUGUGGAAUCUCUGAAUAAACAUGUUUUGGAACAAAGUGUUA